rnacentral:rRNA from 1 species
UCGCCAGGACUCCGAGCGCAGUAGUAAAACCCUCGCUUUGGACUGUACUGGCGCGGCCCUGCCGUAAAACCCCCAACUUCUGGAAAUUUGACCUCGGAUCAGGUAGGAAUACCCGCUGAACUUAAGCAUAUCUA